GGGUGUCUAGCUCGGUGGUAGAGUGUGUGCUUAGAGUGCAUGAGGUCCUGGGUUCCACCCCCGGUACAUCCG
rnacentral:tRNA from 1 species